GGGCCGUUGGUGAAGGAGGAUCAUGCCGGUUUCCAAGUCCGGAGUCGGGGGUGCGAAUCCCUCACGGCCCG
rnacentral:tRNA from 1 species